UAGGGAAUCUUCGGCAAUGGACGAAAGUCUGGCCGAGCAACGCCGCGUGAGUGAAGAAGGUUUUCGGAUCGUAAAACUCUGUUGGUAGAGAAGAACGUUGGUGAGAGUGGAAAGCUCAUCAAGUGACGGUAACUACCCAGAAAGGGACGGCUAACUACGUUCCAG
rnacentral:rRNA from 1 species